AACGAACGCUGGCGGCAUGCCUAACACAUGCAAGUCGAACGAGACCUUCGGGUCUAGUGGCGCACGGGUGCGUAACGCGUGGGAACCUGCCCUUAGGUUCGGAAUAACUCCCCGAAAGGGGUGCUAAUACCGGAUAAUGUCUUCGGACCAAAGAUUUAUCGCCUUUGGAUGGGCCCGCGUUGGAUUAGCUAGUUGGUAGGGUAAAAGCCUACCAAGGCGACGAUCCAUAGCUGGUCUGAGAGGAUGAUCAGCCACACUGGGACUGAGACACGGCCCAGACUCCUACGGGAGGCAGCAGUGGGGAAUAUUGGACAAUGGGCGAAAGCCUGAUCCAGCAAUGCCGCGUGAGUGAUGAAGGCGUUAGGGUUGUAAAGCUCUUUUAACCGGGAUGAUAAUGACAGUACCGGGAGAAUAAGCUCCGGCUAACUCCGUG
rnacentral:rRNA from 1 species